CAGCGGCAUCAUGCUCUUGCAAAGCAGGGCAGCACAAGUGUAAGCACAUGAUAGCACUACUGCUGCACAUUCAUGCAACAGAAACGUUUGACGUCCUUUCUUCUACUGAUAUGCCUCAGCAAUGGGGUAAAGAACAGCUGACAGAUGCAAGAAAGAAGUAUAAACCAAGGUUGAUUGCAGAGUUGCCGUGCUCGAAAAAGGAAACAAUGCUGGUGCAUCAAGAUCAUCUCAUCUAACUGCGAGGCAAGAUAAGUCGGAGGGAACGUGCAGGUCUCCAGCAUCCCCAG
rnacentral:lncRNA from 1 species